GAUGAAGAACGCAGCGAAAUGCGAUAAGUAAUGUGAAUUGCAGAAUUCAGUGAAUCAUCGAAUCUUUGAACGCACAUUGCGCCCGCCAGUAUUCUGGCGGGCAUGCCUGUUCGAGCGUCAUUUCAACCAUCAAGCCCUGCUUGCGUUGGGGUCCUGCGGCUGCCCGCAGGCCCUGAAAACCAGUGGCGGGCUCGCUAGUCACACCGAGCGCAGUAAUACAUCUCGCUUUGGGCGUGCGGCGGGUUCUUGCCGUUAAACACCCCCUUUUUACCAAGGUUGACCUCGGAUCAGGUAGGAAUACCCGCUGAACUUAAGAAUAUCAAUAAGCGGAGGA
rnacentral:misc_RNA from 1 species